UACGGAGGGUGCAAGCGUUAUCCGGAUUCACUGGGUUUAAAGGGUGCGUAGGUGGGCAGGUAAGUCAGUGGUGAAAUCUCCGGGCUUAACCUGGGAACUGCACUUGUGACUGCAUCGCUGGAGUGCGGCAGAGGGGGAUGGAAUUCCGCGUGUAGCAGUGAAAUGCGUAGAUAUGCGGAGGAACACCGGUGGCGAAGGCGGGUCUCUGGGCCGAUACUGACGCUGAGGAGCGAAAGCGUGGGGAGCGAACAGG
rnacentral:rRNA from 1 species